UGGAUCCCAUCCUAGGCCACAAGCCAAGAAUGAGAAAUAAGGCUGCAAGCGAGACAACAAUUCACAACCACAGUAUUGUUUGACUUGGAAUACUCACCGGGGUAAAACCUACAACAGGAAUACAAGAUGCUUUAAGUAGCAGAUGCUGAUUUUAAUCUUUCUGGUAGUUAGUGAGUCCACCUUGGCCAGCCCACAGAGCCAGGAGGGACCUGGCAGAAGGAUUUCUUCCUGGCUAUGUCAGCAAGGAAAUGGCAGCAGGAGCAAGGGUUGUGAAGCACCCAAGGUGAUCAGCAGUGUGCAACCUAGAGAGCAAGCAGCCCAGCAGCUGAGGAAUCCUGAGAUUUGCCCCCCUUAAAGCCUUGGCAGCUCCUCAUGCCUUCCAGCACUCUGUGGGAUGAUAUGGGGCAUCCAGACCAUCACAAAAAUAUCAGUGACCUGGCCCUUUCUGCUGGAGGACAGUGAUUUUCUUCUCAAAUUCAUACCUCUCCUGGAGAAGUCACUGAACACGUAAAGUUGGAAGAAAGUAUAUGAGAAGAAAUCUCCUAUGCUGAGGUUUUGUAUUUCCAUGUAAAGUCAAGUACAGUAAUUUACUGCAUGAGAUAAGAAGGGCCAGAUGGACCACAGACCCAACCCAGCUGGUUCUAACAUUCUUG